rnacentral:rRNA from 1 species
UACGUAGGGGGCGAGCGUUAUCCGGAUUCACUGGGUGUAAAGGGAGCGUAGACGGCCAUGCAAGCCAGGGGUGAAAGCCCGGGGCCCAACCCCGGGACUGCCCUUGGAACUGCAUGGCUGGAGUGCGGGAGGGGCAGGCGGAAUUCCUGGUGUAGCGGUGAAAUGCUUAGAUAUCACGAAGAACUCCGAUUGCGAAGGCAGCUCACUGGACUGCAACUGACACUGAGGCUCGAAAGUGUGGGUAUCAAACAGG